rnacentral:rRNA from 1 species
UACGGGAGGCAGCAGUGAGGAAUAUUGGUCAAUGGGCGAGAGCCUGAACCAGCCAAGUAGCGUGCAGGAUGACGGCCCUAUGGGUUGUAAACUGCUUUUAUACGGGGAUAAAGUGAGGGACAUGUCCCUUUUUGUAGGUACCGUAUGAAUAAGGACCGGCUAAUUCCGUGCCAGCAGCCGCGGUAAU